AAAUUGAAGAGUUUGAUCAUGGCUCAGAUUGAACGCUGGCGGCAGGCCUAACACAUGCAAGUCGAACGGUAACAGGAAGCAGCUUGCUGCUUUGCUGACGAGUGGCGGACGGGUGAGUAAUGUCUGGGAAACUGCCCGAUGGAGGGGGAUAACUACUGGAAACGGUAGCUAAUACCGCAUAACGUCGCAAGACCAAAGAGGGGGACCUUAGGGC
rnacentral:rRNA from 1 species